GUCGGUAAGAGACGCUAUUACUCACAGAUUUCCGAAUGGGGAAACCCACCCAAGAUAACUUGGGUAUCUGUUACUGAAUACAUAGGUAACAGAGGCGAACCGGGAGAACUGAAACAUCUAAGUACCCCGAGGAAAAGAAAUCAACCGAGAUUCCCUCAGUAGCGGCGAGCGAACGGGGAUUAGCCCUUAAGCAUCUUGGAAGUUAGUGGAACGGUCCUGGAAAGGCCGGCGAUACAGGGUGAUAGCCCCGUACACGAAAACAACCUUGAUGUGAAAUCGAGUAGGGCGGGACACGUGACAUCCUGUCUGAAUAUGGGGGGACCAUCCUCCAAGGCUAAAUACUCCUGACUGACCGAUAGUGAACCAGUACCGUGAGGGAAAGGCGAAAAGAACCCCUGUGAGGGGAGUGAAAUAGAACCUGAAACCGUGUACGUACAAGCAGUGGGAGCCCUUCGGGGUGACUGCGUACCUUUUGUAUAAUGGGUCAGCGACUUACAUUUUGUAGCGAGGUUAACCGUAUAGGGGAGCCGUAGGGAAACCGAGUCUUAACUGGGCGUCUAGUUGCAAGGUGUAGACCCGAAACCGGGUGAUCUAGCCAUGGGCAGGUUGAAGGUUGAGUAACAUCAACUGGAGGACCGAACCCACUAACGUUGCAAAGUUAGGGGAUGACCUGUGGCUGGGGGUGAAAGGCCAAUCAAACUCGGAGAUAGCUGGUUCUCCCCGAAAGCUAUUUAGGUAGCGCCUCGGACGAAUACUACUGGGGGUAGAGCACUGUUUGGGCUAGGGGGUCAUCCCGACUUACCAACCCCAUGCAAACUCCGAAUACCAGUAAGUAAUAUCCGGGAGACACACGGCGGGUGCUAACGUCCGUCGUGAAGAGGGAAACAACCCAGACCGCCGGCUAAGGUCCCAAAGUUCUGGUUAAGUGGGAAACGAUGUGGGAAGGCUCAGACAGCUAGGAUGUUGGCUUAGAAGCAGCCAUCAUUUAAAGAAAGCGUAAUAGCUCACUAGUCGAGUCGGCCUGCGCGGAAGAUGUAACGGGGCUCAAACCAGGCACCGAAGCCGCGGAUUCACACUUAUGUGUGAGUGGUAGGGGAGCGUUCUGUAAGUCUGCGAAGGUGUAUCGAGAGGUAUGCUGGAGAUAUCAGAAGUGCGAAUGCUGACGUAAGUAACGAUAAAGGGGGUGAAAAGCCUCCUCGCCGGAAGACCAAGGGUUCCUGUCCAACGUUAAUCGGGGCAGGGUGAGUCGACCCCUAAGGUGAGGCCGAAAGGCGUAAUCGAUGGGAAGCAGGUUAAUAUUCCUGCACGACUUGUAAUUGCGAUGGGGGGACGGAGAAGGCUAGGUGGGCCAGGCGACGGUUGUCCUGGUGAAAGUGCGUAGGUGGUGUUUCUAGGCAAAUCCGGAGACACAACACUGAGACACGAGACGAACACACUACGGUGUGGAAGCCAUUGAUGCCCUGCUUCCAGGAAAAGCCUCUAAGCUUCAGAUUACAAGUCAUCGUACCCCAAACCGACACAGGUGGUCGGGUAGAGAAUACCAAGGCGCUUGAGAGAACUCGGGUGAAGGAACUAGGCAAAAU
rnacentral:rRNA from 1 species